rnacentral:ncRNA from 2 species
GAGGAAGCCCGGUGAGAUUCCGGCGCGGUCCCGCCACUGUGAGCCGGCCCGGCACCCCCGGGGCGGUGAGUCAGGAACUC